AGAGUUUGAUCAUGGCUCAGGACGAACGCUGGCGGCGUGCCUAGUACAUGCAAGUCGAGCGGAAUGAUGAAGAAGCUUGCUUCUUCUGAUUUUAGCGGCGGACGGGUGAGUAACACGUGGGCAACCUACCUUGUAGAUUGGGAUAACUCCGGGAAACCGGGGCUAAUACCGAAUAAACCAUUUUGCUUCAUGGCAAGAUGUUGAAAGGCGGCUUCGGCUGUCACUACUAGAUGGGCCCGCGGCGUAUUAGCUAGUUGGUAGGGUAAUGGCCUACCAAGGCGACGAUACGUAGCCGACCUGAGAGGGUGAUCGGCCACACUGGGACUGAGACACGGCCCAGACUCCUACGGGAGGCAGCAGUAGGGAAUCUUCCACAAUGGACGAAAGUCUGAUGGAGCAACGCCGCGUGAGUGAAGAAGGUUUUCGGAUCGUAAAACUCUGUUGUAAGGGAAGAACACGUACGAGAGUAACUGCUCGUACCUUGACGGUACCUUAUUAGAAAGCCACGGCUAACUACGUGCCAGCAGCCGCGGUAAUAC
rnacentral:rRNA from 1 species